rfam:Polaribacter sp. Hel1_33_78 genome assembly, chromosome: I
UCGUGUUAGUGAUUAAAAUGACAUCCUUUUUUGAAGAAUGAAAAAAAGAUAUAAUGGAAAGCACGACUUUAA